rnacentral:lncRNA from 1 species
AGCCGAUCCAUCAUCCAAGAUGGCCGCCAGCGGGGGACUUAGUUUAACAUAGGACCCUAUGGGAAAUGCAUACAAAUGACUUCUUUUAGAGAACCACUGAAUGGAAUGAAACCAAACAUGGCAUGAAUGUUCCUUAUGAGGUGCUGACCAAGUUUGUUACUUUGUAGCCGAUCCAUCAUCCAAGAUGGCGCCAGCGGGGGACUUAGUUUAACAUAGGACCCUAUGGGAAAUGCAUACAAAUGACUUCUUUUAGAGAACCACUGACUGGAAUGAAACCAAACAUGGCAUGAAUGUUCCUUAUGAGGUGCUGACCAAGUGUUGUUACUUUGUAGCCGAUCCAUCAUCCAAGAUGGCCGCCAGCGGGGGACUUAGUUUAACAUAGGACCCUAUGGGAAAUGCAUACAAAUGACUUCUUUUAGAGAACCACUGAAUGGAAUGAAACCAAACAUGGCAUGAAUGUUCCUUAUGAAGUGCUGACCAAGUGUUGUUACUUUGUAGCCGAUCCAUCAUCCAAGAUGGC